UGGCGGCAGGCCUAACACAUGCAAGUCGAGCGGUAACAUUUCUAGCUUGCUAGAAGAUGACGAGCGGCGGACGGGUGAGUAACGCGUAGAAAUCUACCUAGUAGUGGGGGAUAGCCCAGAGAAAUUUGGAUUAAUACCGCAUACGCCCUACGGGGGAAAGCGGGGGAUCUUCGGACCUCGUGCUAUUAGAUGAGUCUGCGUCGGAUUAGCUUGUUGGUGAGGUAAUGGCUCACCAAGGCGACGAUCCGUAGCUGGUCUGAGAGGAUGACCAGCCACACUGGAACUGAGACACGGUCCAGACUCCUACGGGAGGCAGCAGUGGGGAAUAUUGCACAAUGGGCGCAAGCCUGAUGCAGCUAUGCCGCGUGUGUGAAGAAGGCCUUAGGGUUGUAAAGCACUUUCAGCAGUGAGGAAAGGGGUGUCGUUAAUAGCGCCAUCCUGUGACGUUAACUGCAGAAGAAGGACCGGCUAACUCCGUG
rnacentral:rRNA from 1 species